AAUCCCCUAUCAUGCACGAGGUGGAGAAGAAUUUUUGAUCCAUUACGCUUAGAAUGGGAACCAAUUUGUGGCUAUGGUGUGUAUGCCUGCCUCGGCGGGAAACCUAAAGUAGCCCAUGCGGAACCCACCUGGUUUGCCAGGUUCAAAAUUUCUUUUUCAUACGGCAUAGGAUGGGGGAUUA
rnacentral:other from 1 species